AUGCCAUUUUGGCUCCUCGGUUAUUUGGGAGGUGGUAGGAGACAGUCCUGUCACUGCCUGUGUCACUGGCACCCCUCAGUGACUGCCUUCUGUCGCGGUGUGCUGAGGUUUGCACUCACACAGGAUCACAGCCAUGCAGCACAGCUCAGCCUGGGCGCACCCAUGGAGCUCGGGAUGGAGCAUUCGGGAAUGCCGGAGGAUAGACAAGGGACAAUAAACAGUGGCAUCUUGCAGCUGACAUGCACCUGCUUUUAAUUAGUCUGAUGACGGGAUGCGCAGAGCAGCAGAGAAGAGUGCACCCGAGGUAAGCAGCCUUCUAAUUUCUGAGAAACUUCUGGUUUUAAGGCACCGGCAGCAGGAGAUCAGUGAAUUUGCCCUGCACCACACAAGCCCCGGCAGUGCCUGCAGAUGACAGACUUGAGUGGUAUUAAUGACCAUGAACCUGACUCUGGUCGUGAGCCCACGCCAGCCUUACAGCACUGUAAUUCCACCUCUGCUGCCAAGAAAUGCGUCCGGCUCUGGCUCCUUCACCAGGACGGGCAGGAGGUGACAGCCCACAGACCCUGCCCAGCCAGGUGUCACCCCGCCGGGGCUGCUGCUGCCUCCUUGUUUUGGGUUGAGAUUCUGUCACACUUCAGUUGUUUAUGUUUUCUCUAAGUUCCAACUGUGCCACAAUUUAAAUUAAUGAUUGAGAUUAGAAACUUGAAAAGAUCUUCUGCAAAUGUAGUACUUCCGUCAGUGUUAUUUUUAAUAUAGCCUGCCUUGUAUCAAACGCGCUUGCAAAGCUAUUCCUCUCAAGUUUGCUGAAGCUUUCCCUGUGGAGCACAGAAAAAACUCCACAAUCCCUCAGAAAAUACAACUGCUAAUUUUAUGGUUUACCUGUGCCUUACUUCAAAGUCUCAUGCCUCGUACUAAAAUACUAAACACAAAAGGCUCGUAGAUGAAAUUGAUUUUUUAAGUUAUAAAUUACAGAAAACAUGAUUUUUAAUUGGAUGUGCAAGAGAACAUCUGCAAUAACAUCUGAAAUAAAUAGUUUUUAAAAAUAGCUUUCCUCUACA
rnacentral:lncRNA from 1 species